rnacentral:lncRNA from 1 species
AUGUCUGUGCUCUGCUGCGGAAGGGACUCCAGGCCUCAGGUGUGGGAAGGAGGCUGCCUCAGGCUGUUCCUAGACAGCAGUGAAGUCGAGCCCUGUGCCUGGCUGACGGAAUCUACUUCCACGUCAGGGAUUGACCGAAACAGCUCCCCAGCUGGAAAGAGAGCUGGUUCUCGGUCCCCACCUCGGAAGGCCUUCAGCUCCAGGCUUGGUGUCCCGCCCUGGCCCCCGUCGGGCUCGUGUUCACAGGAAUUCAUCAUUUCCCAGCCUCUAGAUUACUCUGAGGCUGAUUAAAUUAGCGAAUGCAAUCACAAUCUGAAGCAAGUUAAUUGAGAGAAUUUAUUUGGGUCUGACAGUUUUAUGCAUGUUUGAUUAAGUAUUAUAAGGUUUGUUUUUGACUUUGCAUAAUUUAACUUUAAAUCCUGCAUGGGGGGGCCCAUCAACCAUUAAUGACCAAAAUAAACCUCUUGUAAGAUGCUUCUUUUUAUGAUUUAUUUCUGAAUGCAAUAUCUUCCAGAUUUUUUUGAUGCUAUUGCCAAAGUGACAAAUAUUUUUAAAGUAACAUUUUGAGUCAUCCCAUUCACCCUGUAAAUCUUCCAGAAUGUAUACAAUUCAUUAAAAGUUUUGAAAGAAGUACAAGUUAGCAUUUAUAUGGCAACAAGUGACAUAUAAAUGCGUAUGUUUGUCUUCCAAGCGCGCCAUAAAAUGUAUCCCCCCGUGAGCGCCUCAGAGCCGUACAAAUCGUCCACGCACUGGGGUAAUGAUAAACUUGGUCACAAAUCUUCACUGCUGUCAACACAAAACUGUUCAAUCAACAGGAAUAUGAGUUGUGUGUUUUGUGAAAUUAGCACAGGAGAAAAUACAGCCCAGGCCUGGGUCUAGGGACACUGUGGCCCUGGGAGGAGGGC